GAAAGCGUGUGCAGGCCUGAAGAACCACCUCCGCUUUUGCACUAGGUGGUAGCAGUGCCUGUGCGACAAUCAGACCCGGUUCAUUCCGGUUGCCUUUGCCUAGGAUCCCGGUUCUGAGAUCGUCUGGGACCACCCGAAGCCCAAGCAGUGACCCGACUGCCGGCAGAGAUUCCCUGUAGGAAACGGCCGAACUCUUGGGGACAGCGCUAACAGAGAUCUAAGGGCCUAGGCCGGGCCGGUAGCCAAACGAGGCCCGUGACGCCCUUGGAGAAUGAGAGACGUGACAUAAGAGUCCCAAGGGAGCAACCCUGAAAGCCAGCGCCUCCUGAACACUGCCGGGGGCGAGACAACUUUAGACACUGUACCCAGGUGUACGAAGCAUCACUUCCUUCAGACAGACACGCAGCAGAUUGAUAGAUGAAGCAUAAAGCAAGACCAGAUGCUGUGGUAUCCAGGAUGCACUUGGCUUCCUAUCCUUUAGAACCUGGAGCAUUUUUUGCUGUUUGUUCCUGAUAUGUCCACCAGAGACCAGUCCCAUCACAAUGAGUCUUGGUAUCCACAGGGUUUAAGAACAUGGACAUUGCUGCCCAACAGACCUGGGUUUGAAUCUCUUGUUCUCAUGGAGUUCUGAAGACGAAAACAUCUUGUAAAAAUGCAAGUCUUUAUAGAGCUAUUGAUUUUUUUAAAUCUAGAGAUUUAUCUUAUAUUUCAUUGUCAUUUAUUAUUUGUUUAGGGAAAACUUCCUUACUUAGGCUGCUGAGUGGGUUUUGCACAAAAGAAAGAUAUUAGUUCAAUGGAUGAAAGUGAGAUGCUGAACCAGAUUUGAGAUUUUAGAGAUCGAUACUUUGCAAACUAUAACCUUAUUACCCUUGAGAACUACCGUAACAUCAGAGCUGCGAUUCCUCAUGUGAAAUUUAAUUCAUGUAAGCACAACACAUUUUUGAAAGUAUUUACUAUGUGUGACUCAUGGAAAUGCUCCUAAAAUUGAGGGAGUUUUAUUGAACAAAACAAAUGAUAUGUCCUGUUCAGAGACUGAGCGCCUGGCCUUCAAAGGCAAAGGCCAGAGCAAAACUUGCUGAUUUUAGAUAUUUAAGAAUUAACUAUCAGGAGCAUUUGAGAUCUUGCUUCCAUACAUGUUGUCAGUUUGGGUCAAAUAAACUCUUAUAAAAAUUCUUAAAAAAAAAAAAGUAUUAAAUAUCUACUAGACCUUCUUCUUUCACCUAAAAGAGAGAGAGAGGCCCAGCAGUAGUGGACUAGAAGCUAACGUUAAAAUCACUCUCCCUACCUUUCUGUUGUCAGUGUUUCUGGAACCAGAAAAACAAAACAGGGGUAAGAAAGAAAGAAAACAGCAAAACCUGUAACUUGAGUUACUGAAGAGCAGGAAACAAAUCAAGUAUACUAAGUUGGCAGUGCUCAAAGUCCCAUUCAACUUCACAAUAGUAUACAUGAUAGAGUUUCACAAACCUUUCCACUUUCUAGUCUGCUGCUUAUUAACUUUAAAUACCAGAACCAUUCUGAGAGCUUUGAAUGCCUGAAUAAGGCCCGGUGCCAGAGGUAUGCCCCACACCCAUUUCUUUAUGUCUCUGAGUUCUCAUCUAAAUGAGAAAACACAAAAGGGGAUAGUAAAGGAAAGGAGACAGAGAGGUUGACACCCUAACAGUGUUCUCUAUCUCUACAGUGUUUUGCAAAAUCCUCAACAGAUGCUAAUGAUUCUUCCCUUACUAAAAGUGUCAUUAGAAUUCUGUCUACCCUGUUUAGCCGAAAAUAAGACCUAGCCGGACAAAUCAGCUCUAAUGCAUCUUUUGGAGCAAAAAAUAAUGU